UACGUAGGGGGCGAGCGUUGUCCGGAAUCAUUGGGCGUAAAGAGCUCGUAGGCGGUUCAGUAAGUCGGCUGUGAAAGUCCGAGGCUCAACCUCGGAACUGCAGUCGAAACUAUCGUGACUAGAGUCCGGUAGAGGAGAAUGGAAUUCCCGGUGUAGCGGUGAAAUGCGCAGAUAUCGGGAGGAACACCAGUAGCGAAGGCGGUUCUCUGGGCCGGUACUGACGCUGAGGAGCGAAAGCGUGGGGAGCAAACAGG
rnacentral:rRNA from 1 species